AAAUGAAUUGACGGGGGCCCGCACAAGCGGUGGAGCAUGUGGUUUAAUUCGACGCAACGCGAAGAACCUUACCAGGUCUUGACAUCCCUUGACCGCCUUAGAGAUAAGGCUUUCCCUUUUGGGACAAGGAGACAGGUGGUGCAUGGUUGUCGUCAGCUCGUGUCGUGAGAUGUUGGGUUAAGUCCCGCAACGAGCGCAACCCUUGCCUUUAGUUGCCAGCACUUCGGGUGGGCACUCUAAAGGGACUGCCGGUGACAAACCGGAGGAAGGUGGGGAUGACGUCAAAUCAUCAUGCCCCUUAUGACCUGGGCUACACACGUGCUACAAUGGCCUGUACAGAGGGCUGCGAAGCCGUGAGGUGGAGCAAAUCCCAAAAAGCAGGUCUCAGUUCGGAUUGCAGGCUGCAACUCGCCUGCAUGAAGUCGGAAUCGCUAGUAAUCGCAGAUCAGCAUGCUGCGGUGAAUACGUUCCCGGGCCUUGUACACACCGCCCGU
rnacentral:rRNA from 1 species